GAUGAACGCUGGCGGCGUGCCUAACACAUGCAAGUCGAGCGAAGCACUUACUUUAGAUUUCUUCGGAAUGACGAAGUUUGUGACUGAGCGGCGGACGGGUGAGUAACGCGUGGGCAACCUGCCCUGUACAGGGGGAUAACAGUUAGAAAUGACUGCUAAUACCGCAUAAGCCCACAGCUUCGCAUGAAGCAGUGGGAAAAACUCCGGUGGUACAGGAUGGGCCCGCGUCUGAUUAGCUAGUUGGUAAGGUAACGGCUUACCAAGGCGACGAUCAGUAGCCGACCGGAGAGGGUGACCGGCCACAUUGGGACUGAGACACGGCCCAAACUCCGACGGGAGGCAGCAGUGGGGAAUAUUGCACAAUGGGGAAACCCUGAUGCAGCGACGCCGCGUGAGCGAUGAAGUAUUUCGGUAUGUAAAGCUCUAUCAGCAGGGAAGAAAGUGACGGUACCUGACUAAGAAGCCCCGGCUAACUACGUG
rnacentral:rRNA from 1 species